rnacentral:rRNA from 1 species
UAAACGAUACACCACGAAAAAUCUUACUUGUUUAAAAUAGUUUGUAUACCGCCAUUAAUAGAUAAUUCUGAGAAGAAAAAUCAUCUUAAUUAGUUAAACUAAAUAUAUUAGGUCAAGGUGCAGCUUAUAAAUAAGAAAAAAUGGGUUACAAUAGUAUGUUUGUAUAUUUAAUUUAAAAUGUUAAUUAAAAAUUAGCACUAGAGCAUGUACAUAUCGCCCGUCGCUCGCGGGAAAA